AAGUCGUAACAAGGUUUCCGUUGGUGAACCUGCGGAAGGAUCAUUACAGAGUUGUCGACACGAGUUGUUGCUGGUCCUCAAAUGGGGGCAUGUGCACGCUCUGUUCACACAUCCACUCACACCUGUGCACCCUCUGUAGUUCUAUGGUCUGGGGGACGCACCGUCUUCCUCCCGUGGUUCUAUGUCUUUACACAUACACCGUAGCGAAGUCUUAUGGAAUGUACUCUGCGUUUAACGCGAUAUAAUACAA
rnacentral:misc_RNA from 1 species